AUUGAACGCUGGCGGCAGGCCUAACACAUGCAAGUCGAGCGGAUGAAGGGAGCUUGCUCCUGGAUUCAGCGGCGGACGGGUGAGUAAUGCCUAGGAAUCUGCCUGGUAGUGGGGGAUAACGUCCGGAAACGGGCGCUAAUACCGCAUACGUCCUGAGGGAGAAAGUGGGGGAUCUUCGGACCUCACGCUAUCAGAUGAGCCUAGGUCGGAUUAGCUAGUUGGUGGGGUAAAGGCCUACCAAGGCGACGAUCCGUAACUGGUCUGAGAGGAUGAUCAGUCACCCUGGAACUGGGACACGGUCCAGACUCCUACGGGAGGCAGCAGUGGGGAAUAUUGGACAAUGGGCGAAAGCCUGAUCCAGCCAUGCCGCGGGUGUGAAGAAGGUCUUCGGAUUGUAAAGCACUUUAAGUUGGGAGGAAGGGCAGUAAGUUAAUACCUUGCUGUUUUGACGUUACCAACAGAAUAAGCACCGGCUAACUUCGUG
rnacentral:rRNA from 1 species